CUUAAAGGCAUUGCUUCCAAAAAAAUAAAAUAUUUUUCCUUAAAAUGCCUUUCAGAGCAGUCAAUAAAAAAAUAAAAAAUCGAACAAAGGAACAUGAAAAGAAGCACGAAAAAAACCUAUAUAAUUUGCUUCAUUUGAAGUGUAGAGAGUACUUUACUUUUAGUGAAGAAUCGUUAACAAUUCCUAUUGUAAGUUUGUUAGCUUCUAUUUAUGAUGUCACUGUAAUUAAAUUGAUCUGUCCAAUAAUAUUGAUUGAAUUAACCUUGAUCAUAUAAAGUUGAAAAUGCGGAGAAGAUCGUGAAGAACCAGAGCUUUUGUGAGCUUGGUAAGGUUAACCGGGGAACCUUCGCAACAUGAACGAACUUUAAUAGCAUUCUGCGAUUUAAAUCUUAUUUGCUGUUUUUUAAAAAAGCAAAUUAUAACUUAAAAUAUUAAGACCCCCAUGUGACAAAACAGUUCUGGCCUUUUAAAAAAGACGGUUUUUAGUAUCUUAAGCAAGAAGAACUUGUUGAAAUUUGCUUGAGAAAAUGUGCGUUACAAGCAUUUUUAUUAACUGAAAAUGUUCAGUUGUUCUUAAUAAGCAUUAAAUCUAAUUUGUGUUACUGUUUGUUUUAUGAAAAUGAAUUCAAUCAUGUAUUUACUUUAAAGUUUUUCACUACUCCACGAACAGGCCAGCCAACCCCUCAUCGUUUCGAACCCCUCUAUUUCGAAAGGGUAAUUAUCAACAAAGGAAUCAAAAUUUUAUUUAUAUACAUACUCUGUUCACGAAUGAAAUUGUCUUUAUUUUCUG